AUUGUCUCUACUAUGCACCCGCGAGAUCGUUUCUCUAUCCAUUUCAUCACCUUCUCCUUCUAUAAUUGGAUCUUUGUGACUAAGAUCCAUUACUCCUUACCCAACUUGUUUAAUCUAGCUAAUAAUGACACAACUCUCUAUAACCAAAACAAUAUUCAACGUGGAUACCGACUUACACUCCCUGAAAUUUCCGACUUUAUAUACAUUUUUCCCAGAAACAAUUCCAAAACAAAGAACUAAACCAACAAUAAUGACCCAAAUGAAGAUAGGCAGAAAUGUAGAUAACUCAUGA
rnacentral:misc_RNA from 1 species